UAAAUUGUUUCUGCUGCUACAGCUUUCCAGCCCAAGUUGUUGACUGGCUAGUCUUUUACUGCCUCCCAACAUGUUAGUGAGGUCCUGAGCUGAUGUACCCUAUGGCGAAGAGUGAGGCACUAGUUUCCUGAAGUAAUGUAUAGCAUGAGAUGGCACCCAUUCUAAACAGCAGCCGGCACCAACUCUGGCCGACGUUGGAGUGGACAAGACCCAGAUCCUGUGGGGAGGAAAAGUCUACACUAAACUGUGCAAGGGUGUUGGUUUUUCUCACUGAAGCUACCACUCGUGCAAUUUUGAUUGGUGAUUGACUUAGUCCUCCUCGUGAUCUACGGCAAGAACGACAGCUGAAACGGCUGAAACAUCGGGAAGAAACGGAGGAGACCAAUAUUAACAAGACCUCGUCGUGGAUAGUCGUUAAGGACAGGGGUUUUGAAGACCUUGACAAGGCUGCCUACAGACGCCCUAAGGACAGCAAAUUCAUUUGCCGUGUUUGACAAGUGCUGUGGUGAGCCUGCAGUUCACUCGAAACGGAAAUCGGCGAGGAGCGGCGAAGCGCAGACCCCUCAGGCUGCUCAGAAAGUUAAGGAGGUGGUAAAUUGUUUAGGCUGCUACAGCUCUCUAGCCAAAGUUGUUGACUGGCUAGUCUUUUACUGCCUCCCAACAUGUUAGUGAGGUCUUGAGCUGAUGUACCCUAUGGCGAAGAGUGAGGGACUAGUUUCCUGAAGUAAUGUAUAGCAUGAGAUGGCACCCAUUCUAAACAGCAGCCGGCACCAACUCUGGCCGACAUUGGAGUGGACAAGACCCAGAUCCUGUGGGGAGGAAAAGUCUACACUAAACUGUAAAAGGGUGUCAGUUUUUCUCACUGAAGCUACCACUCGUGCAAUUUUGAUUGGUGAUUGUGACUUAGUCCUCCUCGUGAUCUACGGCAAGAAAGUUGAUUGUGGCCAUACCCGUUGGAGUAGUAAAGACAAACGUUCAAAUUGCUCUUCUUGAUGUAACCCCCAAGCUGUAGGCUGCUGUUAUUUUAAGAGAAAGUGCAGUGGCCUGUUGGACCACCUGGACAGCGAGGCGCGAGAGUUGGAAGUGUUUCCACCAUUACGUCAGACACUCCUCUGCCCCAGAUUUGGAGGAUUUGCAAUAUUGUAGGUUGUAGAAGGUCCUUCCAACAUACCUUCAGGAACAGUUGCAGAACAAUGGCUGGAAGUUAAAUGCUACAGAAAGUAGCAUAGUUGUCAUAAUUAGAGGGCCAAAGUGGUAUGGAAGAUUACAAUGUCAUCAAAGCAUUGACUGGCUUCAGUGUGGUUGUUCUACUCUGCAAAUCUACGAAAGUUGGUGGAUGUUGUCCUUGGUACUCUGGUGUUUUCACUGGCCUUUUGAUGAUCUUUGAGUCUUCAGUGGAUUGAAUCUAGGAGGAGCAGCUUCCCACAACCUGAAAGACAAUAGUCAAUAUUAAUGUUACACUGUAAACUAUGAAAUAAAUA